AUACGGAGGGUCCGAGCGUUAUCCGGAAUCAUUGGGUUUAAAGGGUCCGUAGGCGGGAAUCUAAGUCAGUGGUGAAAUCUUGCAGCUCAACUGUAAAAUUGCCAUUGAUACUGGAUUUCUUGAAUUAGUGUGAAGUGGUUAGAAUGUGUAGUGUAGCGGUGAAAUGCAUAGAUAUUACACAGAAUACCAAUUGCGAAGGCAGAUCACUAACACUAUAUUGACGCUAAGGGACGAAAGCGUGGGGAGCGAACAGGAUCAGAAACCCCGGUAGUCC
rnacentral:rRNA from 1 species